rnacentral:rRNA from 1 species
UGUCUUAUUUCUAGAGAUAGAAGUUACUUCGGUACAUCGGUGACAGGUGGUGCAUGGUUGUCGUCAGCUCGUGUCGUGAGAUGUUGGGUUAAGUCCCGCAACGAGCGCAACCCCUAUUGUUAGUUGCCAUCAUUCAGUUGGGCACUCUAGCGAGACUGCCGGUGUCAAACCGGAGGAAGGUGGGAUGACGUCAAGUCCUCAUGGCCUUUAUGUCUAGGGCUACACACGUACUACAAUGGCCGGUACAAAGGGCAGCCACUCAGCGAUGAGGCGCUAAUCCCAUAAAGCCGGUCUCAGUCCGGAUCGCAGUCUGCAACUCGACUGCGUGAAGUUGGAAUCGCUAGUAAUCGUAGAUCAGCAUGCUACGGUGAAUACGUUCCCGGGCCUU